rnacentral:rRNA from 1 species
UACGUAGGUGGCGAGCGUUAUCCGGAAUGAUUGGGCGUAAAGCGAGCGCAGGUGGUUUAUUAAGUCUGGUGUAAAAGGCAGUGGCUCAACCAUUGUAUGCAUUGGAAACUGGUAGACUUGAGUGCAGGAGAGGAGAGUGGAAUUCCAUGUGUAGCGGUGAAAUGCGUAGAUAUAUAGAGGAACACCGGUGGCGAAAGCGGCUCUCUGGCCUGUAACUGACACUGAGGCUCGAAAGCGUGGGGAGCAAACAGG